rnacentral:misc_RNA from 1 species
GAUGAAGAACGCAGCGAAAUGCGAUACUUGGUGUGAAUUGCAGAAUCCCGUGAACCAUCGAGUCUUUGAACGCAAGUUGCGCCUCAAGCCAUUAGGUUGAGGGCACGUCUGCCUGGGCGUCACAUAUCGUUGCCUGAUGCCAGUUUCCUCGUGAUGGGUGACUGUGCAGGGCGAAUGAUGGCUUCCCGUGAGCAUUGUUGCCUCAUGGUUGGUUGAAAAUUGAGUCCUUGGUAGGGAGCGCCGUGAUAGAUGGUGGUUGAGUGACGAACGAGACCCAAUCAUGUGAGACCCCUACCGAAUUUGGACUUCAUGACCCACAUGCGUCUUUGGAACGCUCAUGACGAGACCUCAGGUCAGGCGGGGCUACCCGCUGAGUUUAAGCAUAUCAAUAAGCGGAGGA